rfam:Leptosomus discolor contig56227, whole genome shotgun sequence.
GUAUAGGCGAUAGAAAGGACCUACAACUGACACUAUAGAGAUACCGUACCGCAAGGGAAAGGUGAAAUAACAAUGAAAACCCAAGAAAACAGCACAGCAAAGAUAAACCCUUGUACCUCUUGCAAGUAUAACCAAGCAAAAUUAAUUUAAGCUUGCCCUCCCGAAACCCAAGCGAGCUACUCACAAGCAGCUACCCUGAGUGACCCCGUCUCUGUUGCAAAAGAGUGGGACGACUUUUUAGUAGAGGUGAAAAGCCAACCGAGCUGGGUGAUAGCUGGAUGCCUGUGAAACGAAUUUAAGUUCUACCUCGAUUGCUCCCCGUGGACCCCAACAACCCUCAAUGUAGCCAAUAAAGAGCCAUUUAAAGGAGGUACAGCUCCUUUAAAAUAGAACACAGUCUCCCUUAGCGGAUAACCUACCCACCCCAAAAAUAUUGUGGGCCUUCAAGCAGCCACCAAUAAAGAAUGCGUCAAAGCUCCACCCAUAAAAAAAAUCCAAAAGCAACAUGACUCCCUUCAUACUAACAGGCCAAUCUAUUACACAUAGAAGAAUUAAUGCUAAAAUGAGUAACUAGGGUCUCCCCUCUCAAGUGCAAGCUUACACUGCCCAAAUUAUUAACAAACCCAGUCGAUGUUCCAAUCCCAACAAGACUAAACAUCACAUUCGCUCUGUUAACCCACCUACAGGAGCGCCCACUAGAAAGAUUAAAACCCACAAAAGGAACUAGGCAAACUCAAGGCCCGACUGUUUACCAAAAACAUAGCCUUCAGCCCACCGAGUAUUGAAGGUGAUGCCUGCCCAGUGACACCAUGUUCAACGGCCGCGGUAUCCUAACCGUGCGAAGGUAGCGCAAUCAAUUGUCUCAUAAAUCGAGACCUGUAUGAAUGGCUAAACGAGGUCUUAACUGUCUCUUGCGGGUAAUCAGUGAAAUUGAUCUUCCUGUGCAAAAGCAGGAGUGUACACAUAAAAUGAGAAGACCCCGUGGAACUUAAAAAUCACAACCCACUACACACAAACUCAACCCUACCAGGCCCACUCAACUGUCAAACACCUGGCUUCCAUUUUUUGGUUGGGGCGACCUUGGAGAAAAACAAAUCCUCCAAAAAUAGGGCCAUAAAACCCUAACCAAGAGCAACAUCUCAACGUGCCAAAAGCAACCAGACCCAAUACACUUGACCAAUGAACCAAGCUACCCCAGGGAUAACAGCGCAAUCUCCCCCAAGAGCCCAUAUCGACAGGGAGGUUUACGACCUCGAUGUUGGAUCAGGACAUCCUAAUGGUGCAGCAGCUAUUAAGGGUUCGUUUGUUCAACGAUUAACAGUCCUACGUGAUCUGAGUUCAGACUGGAGCAAUCCAGGUCGGUUUCUAUCUAUGACAAAUUCUUCCUAGUACGAAAGGACCGGAAAAGUAAGGCAAAUACCUCAAGCACGCCUUCACCUUAAGCAAUGAACCCAACAAAACUGCCAAAGGGCCACUCAAACCUACCCUAGAAAAGGACAGCUAGCGUGGCAGAGCUCAGCAAAUGCAAAAGGCUUAAGCCCUUUACCC